GGUGGCUAGCCACCUCUCUCCGUCAGACACCCCAGCCGAACUCCGACCGAUAGGCCUGGACCCCCUGGCAGGCAGCAGCAACAGCCACAACUCUGCUCCACCUCCUGCGACGGAUUCUACGUGGCUCCAUCACUCCCUGGCAGGCCAUAAUAAUGGCCACGAUCCUGCUCCACCUCCUGCGACGGAUUCCACGCGGCUCCAUCAAUCCCUGGCAGGCCAUAAUAAUGGCCACGAUCCUGCUCCA
rnacentral:lncRNA from 1 species